rnacentral:rRNA from 1 species
UUGACCUCAAAUCAGGUGGGACUACCCGCUGAACUUAAGCAUAUCAAUAAGCGGAGGAAAAGAAACUAACAAGGAUUCCCUUAGUAACUGCGAGUGAAGUGGGAAGAGCUCAAAUUUGAAAUCUGGCAGUCUCUGGCUGUCCGAGUUGUAAUCUAGAGAAGUGUUGCCCGCGCUGGACCGUGUACAAGUCUCCUGGGAUGGAGCGUCAUAGAGGGUGAGAAUCCCGUCUCUGACAUGGACUACCAGGGCUUUUGUGGUGCGCUCUCAAAGAGUCGAGUUGUUUGGGAAUGCAGCUCAAAAUGGGUGGUAAAUUCCAUCUAAAGCUAAAUAUUGGCGAGAGACCGAUAGUGAACAAGUACCGUGAGGGAAAGAUGAAAAGAACUUUGGAAAGAGAGUUAAACAGUACGUGAAAUUGCUGAAAGGGAAACGCUUGAAGUCAGUCGCGUU